CAGUGGCGAACGGGUGAGUAACACGUGAGCAACCUGCCCCUGACUCUGGGAUAACGACCGGAAACGGUCGCUAAUACCGGAUAUGAGACGUACAGGCAUCUGUUGCGUCUGGAAAGUUUUUCGGUCAGGGAUGGGCUCGCGGCCUAUCAGCUUGUUGGUGGGGUAACGGCCUACCAAGGCGACGACGGGUAGCCGGCCUGAGAGGGCGACCGGCCACACUGGGACUGAGACACGGCCCAGACUCCUACGGGAGGCAGCAGUGGGGAAUAUUGCACAAUGGGCGCAAGCCUGAUGCAGCGACGCCGCGUGAGGGAUGACGGCCUUCGGGUUGUAAACCUCUUUCAGCAGGGAAGAAGCGCAAGUGACGGUACCUGCAGAAGAAGCGCCGGCUAACUACGUGCCAGCAGCCGCGGUAAUACGUAGGGCGCAAGCGUUGUCCGGAAUUAUUGGGCGUAAAGAGCUCGUAGGCGGUUUGUCGCGUCUGCUGUGAAAACCUCAGGCUCAACCUGGGGCUUGCAGUGGGUACGGGCAGACUAGAGUGCGGUAGGGGUGACUGGAAUUCCUGGUGUAGCGGUGGAAUGCGCAGAUAUCAGGAGGAACACCGAUGGCGAAGGCAGGUCACUGGGCCGCAACUGACGCUG
rnacentral:rRNA from 1 species